GGGAGUUAUUGGGCUGUCGCUGCUAACGAUAGUUGGAAUAUUUAUUAUAUUCAGCUUCCU
rnacentral:tRNA from 1 species